ensembl:lncRNA
AAAGCUGUGACCUCACCAAAACAUUGGAAGAAAAUAUGCAACAAAAUAAAGUCUAUUUUGGUCAGUUAAGGCUAACAAGGAAUGACUUGACAUUUAGAGAUGUGAGCGGAGAAAGUGAUAUGAGUAGAUCUCAGAUGUAACAGCGUUCAUGAUUUUUUUUCAUGUUUAGUGCUCCUUUUAAUGAAGCUCAUAACACGUUUCUAUCAGACAAAAUAGAGCUUUAAUUAGGCAAAAGUCUGACCAAACAGUUGAACAUCGUAAAUAAUUAUUAAUGAAUAAAAAAAUCUUCCUCUCAGUGUGGUUUGUGUCUUACAUGACUCCUUUAUAUGUUCAAGGCAAAUACACUUUAUCUUUGUUAUUGCACUUGCAAGUAGUACACCGUGUACCUUGUCAGAAGUGUUACAUCAAACACAGCAAGCUCAGUACUUAACAGAAACAACAGUUGCAGCAAUUCAUUCUCUAGCUGCCACAUUUUGCAAGCAUUUAUACCUUGUUGAGCCUCUGAAUGUUGUGUUUGGUGGAAAACAGACCCAAAUUCGGGACUCCCAACGUUUUUUGAGUUGGGAGAAGACAAAAAAAGACAAGCUGCAAACUGCAAAUCCAAACAUUUCCAUAAAACGUCAAAAAAAGGAAAAGAAAAAACAAUCACAGGAAAAAUAAAAGGCAACAAAGACUGAGGGGGAGGACGAGGACAUGACUAUAUGAACACAUGAGGGUAAUCAGGAAGGUGGAAACAUGUAGGUAACAAGACACAACUGAAGAAAAUCAAGACAAGAGAUGAGCAGGGAAGUAAAACUAAUCCCUAGCUCAAUAGGUAGAGUGGUCGCCCCCAUGAUCGCAAGGUUGGGGGUUUGAAUCCACUGAACGGCUUCCCUGAGAUACCCCUGAGCAAGGUACCGUCCCUACACACUGCUUCCCAAGUGCUGGAUUGGUGGAUGCCCACUGCUUCACUGAGUGAAUGGGUUAAAUGCAGAGGAGUAAUUUCCCUACAAAGAUUGAUAAAGUAUACAUUACAUUACAUUAAAAAGGCAAAUGACCACCAAAGUAAAACAGGAAGUGGGAAACAACAAUUAAACUGAUAAUAACAGAGUCCACAACUGAUAGUGUUCCACUGUGUUUAUCUAUCCAGGUAUGCUUUGGGAUCAUUGUUAUGAUCUUUACGAAGUUCUUGCAAAUCUGAUACUUUCCAGAUGGUAUUUCAUGGUGGAUCAAAAUCUGAUGGUACUUUUUGUGUUCAUAACUCAUCAGUUUUAAUAAGACCCCUAACAGCUGGCAUGCAGCUCCAAACCAUGGCAGAGCCUCCACCCUGUUUUACAGAUGACUGUAGACAGUCACUGUUGUAGCUCUCUCCUGAACUCAUCCUGACAAUGAAAAAGACAUUUCAAGAAAUCACAAGGUCUUGCUCUUUAGAAGCAAAAUA